rnacentral:rRNA from 1 species
GACGAACGCUGGCGGCGUGCUUAACACAUGCAAGUCGAACGGAAAGGCCCUGCUUUUGUGGGGUGCUCGAGUGGCGAACGGGUGAGUAACACGUGAGUAACCUGCCCUUGACUUUGGGAUAACUUCAGGAAACUGGGGCUACUACCGGAUAGGAGCUCCUGCUGCAUGGUGGGGGUUGGAAAGUUUCGGCGGUUGGGGAUGGACUCGCGGCUUAUCAGCUUGUUGGUGGGGUAGUGGCUUACCAAGGCUUUGACGGGUAGCCGGCCUGAGAGGGUGACCGGCCACAUUGGGACUGAGAGACGGCCCAGACUCCUACGGGGGGCAGCAGUGGGGAAUAUUGCACAAUGGGCGGAAGCCUGAUGCAGCAACGCCGCGUGCGGGAUGACGGCCUUCGGGUUGUAAACCGCUUUCGCCUGUGACGAAGCGUGAGUGACGGUAAUGGGUAAAGAAGCACCGGCUAACUACGUG